GGAUGUAAGGGCAAUCUGGCUGCAAUAUCUGUCACCCUACUGAUCACCAGGGUUGAUGUGGCUAAUCUGGCUGGCUAGGAGGGUGUCCCCGUCCUCCCUCACGGCUCCAUGUGCGUCCCUCUGUGCGCUCAGUCAAAGGGGGCGACCAUCCCCAACAGAGGAGGACUGGUCUUCGGUCAAGGGUAUAUGAGUAGCUGCACUCCCCUACCAGAACCUCCAUUCAAGCUCUCAAAAAAUACGGGAAAAAAAAUUAGCUGCUUGGGAGGCUGAGGUGGGAGCCUGAGCCCAGAGAAGUCGAGUGAGCCAUGAUUGUGUCACUGCACUCCAGCCUGGGAAACAGUGAGACCUUGUC
rnacentral:snRNA from 1 species